UUCACCAAGCCACAAUCUGUGGACUCCAACACGUAAGUGCAUUUCAUAUAUUAAAAUAUUGUAGAAUGAGCCUAUAAUAUCCUCCGUAUUUAACAUGUGUUAAUUUCACCCUUAAACUCCUAAGAACAAAUAAGAAACAUACAAGAACACCAAAAUAUAAACAAUCAAGUUAGGAAUAGUAAGAAUUAAUUGAGUAAAAACUUUCAUAUAUUCAGUUUAUAACACUUGAUACUCUUGUUUGUACUUCUAUCAAAUGGUUAAAUUUUGUCAUAUGGCUUUGUUGAUUCAAGCUUCUUCUUAUGGUUGUUAAGCAUUGCAAAUUCUCUUGAUUCAGUUGUGACUAACGCUUAAUGAUUAAGUUUUUGUUAUAUUUUGGCUUUAAUGAUAAUUGUUUGUCUUUUUAACUGAUGUAUUUCUGACUUAAUUGAUGUCUUUUUGG
rnacentral:lncRNA from 1 species